rnacentral:rRNA from 1 species
CAUAGCGUAAUGAAGCGAACCGGGGGAACUGAAACAUCUAAGUACCCCGAGGAAAAGAAAUCAACCGAGAUUCCCCCAGUAGCGGCGAGCGAACGGGGAGCAGCCCAGAGUCUGAAUCAGCUUGUGUGUUAGUGGAACGGUCUGGAAAGUCCGACGGUACAGGGUGAUAGUCCCGUACACCAAAAUGCACAGGUUGUGAACUCGAAGAGUAGGGCGGGACACGUGGUAUCCUGUCUGAAUAUGGGGGGACCAUCCUCCAAGGCUAAAUACUCCUGACUGACCGAUAGUGAACCAGUACCGUGAGGGAAAGGCGAAAAGAACCCCGGCGAGGGGAGUGAAAAAGAACCUGAAACCGUGUACGUACAAGCAGUGGGAGCCU